ACUAACGCUGACGGUAUGCCUUAUACAUGCAAGUCGAACGGAAAGGCCCUUCGGGGUGCUCGAGUGGCGGACGGGUGAGUAACACGUAGGAAUCUACCCUUUAGUGGGGGAUAACUAAGAGAAAUCUUAGCUAAUACCCCAUAUGCCGUGAGGUGAAAGUUUUUUCGCUAAAGGAGGAGCCUGCGUCUGAUUAGCUAGUUGGUGGGGUAACGGCCUACCAAGGCGACGAUCAGUAGCUGGUCUGAGAGGAUGACCAGCCACAAUGGGACUGAGAUACGGCCCAUACUCCUACGGGAGGCAGCAGUAGGGAAUUUUGCGCAAUGGACGAAAGUCUGACGCAGCGAUACCGUGUGUGGGAAGACGCUCUGUGGAGUGUAAACCACUGUCAGAAGGGACGAAUCAAUGACGGUACCUUCAAAGGAAGCACCGGCUAACUCUGU
rnacentral:rRNA from 1 species